rnacentral:lncRNA from 1 species
CUCGGGUGGGAGCGGGAGGGUGGGGGGAAGCCGGCCCAGCGGCCCAGGAGCCCUGGGACCCGCAGCACCGGGCACUGGCCGCCCCAGAGGGGUUUUCAGAUCUCCCAGACUGAGACCCCCAGCUCGGCUGGCCCAGAGCCAGGCUUACUCACUGGGAACAAGCAUCUUCCCCGCAGCAGCCAACGCUCCCAGAGGUUUCUGGAAUCCUGCACGCACAUUUCACUCACAUUUUGCUGUCACUUGCCCACUCUGAUGCCAACAUCCUUGAGACCAAGCCACGUUUCUGGCUUACUCCAUGAGGGCUGCCUGCCGUGUAGACCUCCCAACUGAGUACAACCCGGGGAAUGGUGAGUCCCAUCACUAGACCUGUGGAGCUCAGAGACGGUUGGUUUAGACAGAACCACAGGCCAUGCCAGGUAUCAAGUCAGGACUGUGGCGCCCACCCAGUGCCCUGGCUGGACCUGCUGCUUCUGAAACGUCGACUGAUGCAUGCUUCCCCAAAGGGCACCUCCGUUAGGACAGCUUCUCCUGUUGCAUAAGGGUGGGUCUUAUGACAUCUUCACAUGGUGAUCACAAAUGCAAAGGGACCCUGAGCCACCAGGCCCAAGGGCAUCCUGGAGCAGAACGGCAGAGCAGAGAGCCUGAAUCCCGCUCCGCUCUCCACCAGCCUGCCUCCCGGUCAGUCACACGGCCUUCCGGAGCUUCAGUUUCGUCAGGUGUGAAACGAGUCUCAGAGGUGCUGGCAGGAUUAAUCGGCCCUAAAUCUCGACAUGUGGGGUCAGUAAAUUGCUGCCCUCCGGCAUCCGGUGCGCUGCCUGUUUUUGCAUGGCCCUUCAUCGAGAACGGUUCUUACAUUUUUAAAUGGCCGGAAAAAAUAAAAAGAAGAGUAAUAUUUCACAAAACAUGAAAAAUAUGUGAAAUUCAAAUGUCAGUGUCCAUCAGUAAAGCUUUAUUGGAACGCAACCAGGCCCUUUCAUUUCCGUGUUUCCUGUGGCUGCUUUUGUGCUGUGAUCGCAGGACUGAGUAGUUGCAGACACCGUACGGCCGACCGAGACUGAAGUGUUGACUAUCUGGCCCCAGCCAAAAAAGUGUGUGCUGAGCC